rfam:Kyrpidia tusciae DSM 2912, complete genome.
AACGGGGGUAGAGGCGCGAGGUCCAAGAGUACCGGCGGGGAGGCGAAGGGGCCGACGAUCCGCCCGGGAAAGGGGAUUUCGCCGAAGCGUCGGCGGCGGCCCUCAAGGCGCCGGCGCUGGGCCCGGACCGAAAAGGUCCGGGACUGUCACAAGGGGUUCCCUUGUGGAGUGCUACUGCGUGG